rnacentral:rRNA from 1 species
AGUGAACGCUGGCGGUAGGCCUAACACAUGCAAGUCGAACGGCAGCACAGUAAGAGCUUGCUCUUACGGGUGGCGAGUGGCGGACAGGUGAGGAAUACAUCGGAAUCUACUUUUUCGUGGGGGAUAACGUAGGGAAACUUACGCUAAUACCGCAUACGACCUACGGGUGAAAGCAGGGGAUCUUCGGACCUUGCGCGAUUGAAUGAGCCGAUGUCGGAUUAGCUAGUUGGCGGGGUAAAGGCCCACCAAGGCGACGAUCCGUAGCUGGUCUGAGAGGAUGAUCAGCCACACUGGAGCUGAGACACGGUCCAGACUCCUACGGGAGGCCGCAGUGGGGAAUAUUGGACAAUGGGCGCAAGCCUGAUCCAGCCAUACCGCGUGGGUGAAGAAGGCCUUCGGGUUGUAAAGCCCUUUUGUUGGGAAAGAAAAGCAGCAGGUUAAUACCCCGCUGUUCUGACGGUACCCAAAGAAUAAGCACCGGCUAACUUCGUG